GCUGUCGUGGCUAUUGUGCUCGUCGUCAGCCCUUUGGUCGUGCUAAGUGCCCGGCUACUUUACGCUACGCAUGUACUCGCAGCUUCCGUCUCUCGCAUUACCCAAAGAGUUUUAACUUUCAGACAGCCUGAAACUAUUGGCGCCAUUGUGAUCAGAGACAACAACAAAACAAUUGGUGGCACCCAAGUAGUGGGUGGAGUGAGAAAAACAUUUGCCAAUAUCACACUCUUUUCGAAGCCUGACAUCGGCCUUGACUGUCAUGUCAUUAUCUUUGAUUCUGCGUGAAGUUCACUGCGAUUUGGUAAAGGCCAAUGGCAAGCUAAUUAUAAUAUUUAAGAUCAAGCUCUGCCUUUAGAACUCCUUUAACUCUACUAGGCUUAGGUUAUUUAUAGAUACGAUUACGAAAGAAAUUAUGCUAAAUAGUUCCUCUUUUUUGACACCAAAA